rnacentral:rRNA from 1 species
UACAUGGGGUGCAAACGUUGCUCGGAAUCAUUGGGCGUAAAGCGCGCGUAGGCGGUUACACAAGUUGGAUGUGAAAGCCCUCGGCUUAACUGAGGAAGUGCAUCCAAAACUGUGCAGCUAGAGUACUAAAGAGGGUCGCGGAAUUCCCGGUGUAGAGGUGAAAUUCGUAGAUAUCGAGAGGAACACCGGUGGCGAAGGCGGCCAACUGGACGAAUACUGACGCUGAGACACGAAAGCGUGGGGAGCAAACAGG